GUCCCGGUGGCACAAUGGAUAGCGCGUCGGACUUCUAUUCCGGAGGUUGCGGGUUCGAGUCCCGCCCGGGAUG
rfam:Schistosoma mansoni, Puerto Rico, WGS project CABG01000000 data, contig: 0272